rnacentral:rRNA from 1 species
UAAGGAAUAUUGGACAAUGGGCGCAAGCCUGAUCCAGCCAUGCCGCGUGAAGGAUGAAGGCCCUAUGGGUCGUAAACUUCUUUUAUACGGGAAAAACCCCCGAUUGCGAUCGGGGUUGAUGGUACUGUAAGAAUAAGGGUCGGCUAACUUCGUGCCAGCAGCCGCGGUAAUACGAAGGACCCGAGCGUUAUCCGGAUUUAUUGGGUUUAAAAGGUGCGUAGGCGGAUUAGUAAGUCAGUGGUGAAAGCCCAUCGCUUAACGGUGGAAUUGCCAUUGAUACUGCUAGUCUUGAGUAUGGUUGAGGUGGGCGGAAUGUGUCAUGUAGCGGUGAAAUGCUUAGAUAUGACACAGAACACCAAUUGCGAAGGCAGCUCGCUAAGCCAUAACUGACGCUGAUGCGCGAAAGCGUGGGGAGCAAACAGGAUUAGAUACCCUGGUAGUCCACGCCCUAAACGAUGAUAACUCGUUGUUGGCGAUACACAGUCAGCG